GCAUUUUGUCAAACAUAGUGUGUGCAUUACAUUUAUGUACUAUAUCAUUAACAAAUCAUUUUCUCCAAAUUUAACAAUUUAUAAAUCUAAUAAUUUUAACAAUUUACAAGGCUAAGUUUAAAGUUGAGUAACUUCGAUGGGAAGACGAAAGAUUGGGACCGGAACUAAGAGCAGGCGCAGGAGCAAAAGUGAGAGCAAGGUGGAAUGUAGUGUGAGUUGGAUCAACACCAACAGCAACAAUAAGAGUGAGAGGGGAGCGGGAGCAGGAGCAGGAGUGGUAGAGUGAGCGAGAGCGAAGCAGAGCGUGAGAUCCAAAAGGAGAGAGAAGAUGAUUUCGUGUCUGAGGCUUUUGUUUUCUUAUCCAAACACGGAGCAUGAGAUCGAGAGGGAGAGAGAAUAGGCUUUCGUUUUAUGAUCAGAGCGAGAAAGAAGAUGAUUUCGUGGCUAAGAUCCAAAGGGAAGGAGAAGAUGUUUUCCUUUUG
rnacentral:lncRNA from 1 species